UCUGGAUUUGAACUCAGCUCCUCCUGACGGCAGGGAAGGUGCUCUGCCCACUGCUCCUUCCUCUCAGCUUUUACAAAGACGCAUUUCCUGAGAAGGAAUGGCAAGGCCGGAAGUGCAAAAGCUCGCCUCCAAACUGGGGCCUGGACUCCCAUUUGCCAGGUCCCUGAGGAAAACAGUCUCCAAGUGGUAGCUGAAGAACAUCCCCUGGUCCCCAGACAGGGGGUACUUCCUGGCCGGAGGAGACCCUUCCCCUUUCAAGAAAUCACCCUCCUCACUCCAGGUCCAAUUCUCCGUAGUGCGCACAGUAGGUGGGUUUGGCCCUCUCUUCCUUCCCAUUCCAGAACACACAGUAGGUGGGCUUGGCUCUCUUCCACUUCCCACCCCAGAACACACAGUAGGUAGGCUUGGUCCUCUUUUCCUUCCCAUUCCAGAACACACAGUAGGUGGGCUUGGCCCUCUCCCCCUUCCCACUCCAGAACACACAGUAGGUGGGCUUGGCCCUCUCCCCCUUCCCACUCCAGAACACACAGUAGGUAGGCUUGGCCCUCUCCCCCUUCCCACUCCAGAACACAUAGUAGGCAGGCUUUGCCCUUCCUGCUUGCUUGUAGGGAAUCACAGGUCUCAUGGUCCAGGUCCCACAGCUCUUCCCAGGCUUAUUGUUGCUGCUGCUCUGUUGCUAUUCUGACUUUUUUGAGUUUAUAAGCCAAUUUCAUAAUCUCAUACUCAUCAGUUUAAGAAUGAAGGGAACAAGCAUCAAUUAAGCACCUACUGUAUGUCAGCCCCCAUGCUAAGUGCUUUACAAAUAUCACAUUUGAG